rnacentral:rRNA from 1 species
GACGAACGCUGGCGGCGUGCCUAAUACAUGCAAGUCGGACGCAGUUUCGAACGGGUGAGUAACGCGUAGGUAACUCCCUCUUAGAGGGGGAUAACUCUUUGAAACGAUAGCUAAUACCGCAUACUAGCAGAUGGACCUGCGUGGUAUUAACUAGUUGGUGGGGUAAUGGCCUACCAAGGCAACGAUACAUAGCCGACCUGAGAGGGUGGUCGGCCACAACGGGACUGGGACCCGGCCCAGACCCCUACGGGAGGCAUGAGUAGGGAAUCUUCGGCAAUGGGGGGAACCCUGACCGGGCAACGGCCGGUGAGUGCAGAAGGUUUUUGGAUCGUAAAGCUCUGUUGUUAAGGAAGCGGUACUUAACCAGAAAGGGACGGCUAACUACGUGCCAGCAGCCGCGGUAAUAC